UUUUUAAUAGUUUAAUAAUGUAAGACGUACGAUUUUGAAUCGUAAAAAAAAUUAAUUUUUUUUUUUAGUUA
rnacentral:tRNA from 1 species